GUAGCAGUCGCAGGUUCGCAUGGUCUCAGUGGCAGUCGGCGGUUCGCAUGGUCUCGCCCGUGAAAAAUAGAAGCUCUGCGCAAAUUUUGCCAGGGCUGAUGGAUGCCGGUGCGACGACGGACUCCCUACGCAGCGGAUCUGGAGUUGGUGGAACCUCACACAGUGAUUGUAAUGAAUCCGUAUUGGCUCCGCCGACGGAUCUGCAACCAUUAUGCAUGAAGUGGAAUUUAGGGGUAGCAGGAUGCAGUCUGGUACUCCCCACCAGGUUAUAAUUUUGUUGGUGAGUGACCUCUCGUCUGCGAAGCUCAACCGAAUGGGUGUAAUAGGCCAUAAAUACAACACAGUACACAUUACCUCUGGAACUCCAUGGGAAAGAGCCCAUGAAAUCCCAGGGUCUUUCUGAAGCUGCAAUUUCCCUGCUUUUCUUAAUUUGUAUUAUCAGCAGAGCUUAGCCCAAUCAACACCUAUAUACCAAAGCACUGUUUUAUAGGCCUUGUAUUUUUUGAAGAUAUCCUGAUAUUGAAUUCCCAUUAAACAUUCCAGGAAGGAGUUCUCAGAGACAUCCUGGUAUGUAGAUGGUUUCAUCUGAAGGAGUUCCAAGAUGGCACAGCGGAUGGCAGCUUCAAAACAUGGAUCACCUCGUUCCACGACGCUGGACUGCACUAUGAGAGGGCACGAAUAUCAAGCCUUUGUGGGAUCACUAUGAACGCCCUAAGGCGAAAAGCUGGGACAGAUCUUUCCGGCAAUAUAGCGGGACAUUUGCAGGACGGCACUAUGAAAGAGGCUUCUUUACCUUCUCUGAUAUCUGACUUCCAGCGCCGAUAAAGUGACAUCUCUUUGAAUGGACUGACCCCAUAGUACAUCAAGGACCUCAUCCAAAUCUAUACUCCAGCGCUCAAAUUGAGGUCCGAGGGCCAGCUCCAGCCCGUGGUGCCCAGAGCGAGAUUUAAAACCGGGGGGACAGGGCUUUCUCUGUGGUGGGCCCCAGACUUUGGAAUGCCCUCCCCCUCCAUGUGCCAACAGCCCCCACGGCCCUCCCUGGCUUUUUAACUUUGUGUGAGUUUUGUGGUCCUCUGUGUCUUUUAUUUCUUUUACUACUUCAAACUACGUCUUUUAUUUCUUUUACUAUCUGUUUGAUUUUAUCGUUUUAUUUAAAGCAUAAUUUUAGAGUAAUACACUUUUUAUUUAUUGCUGAUUGUUAUAUGGAAAUGUUUGUUUUAUUGUUGAUUCUAUGUACAGCACUUUGGAGAUGUUUUUGUUGUUUAAAUGUGCUAUACAAAUAAAGUGGAUUGGAUUGAAGUAAAA